GGGUGGCGGACGGGUGAGUAACGCGUAAAGAACUUGCCUCACAGUUAGGGACAACAUUUGGAAACGAAUGCUAAUACCUGAUAUUAUGAUUUUAGGGCAUCCUAAGAUUAUGAAAGCUAUAUGCGCUGUGAGAGAGCUUUGCGUCCCAUUAGCUAGUUGGAGAGGUAACGGCUCACCAAGGCGAUGAUGGGUAGCCGGCCUGAGAGGGUGAACGGCCACAAGGGGACUGAGACACGGCCCUU
rnacentral:rRNA from 1 species